AACAAACGGUGGCGGCGUGCCUAUUCCAUGCAAGUCGAGCGAGAACUGGACUUCGGUUCAGGGAGAGCGGCGGAAGGGUGAGUAAUGUAUAAGCAACCUACCUUUAAGAGGGGGAUAGCAGUUCGAAAGGGCUGGUAAUACCGCAUAGUAUUGACGAAGCACAUGCUUUGUUAAUUAAAGCAGGGGACCUUCGGGCCUUGCACUUAAAGAGGGGCUUGUAUUCUAUUAGUUUGUUGGUGGGGUAAUGGCCUACCAAGACUACGAUGGGUAGCCGGCCUGAGAGGGUGAUCGGCCACACGGGCACUGAGACACGGGCCCG
rnacentral:rRNA from 1 species